GCUGGCAAACCUGUUUAGUGUAAGUCGUCUGAAGGUAAAGAGAGGCAGCAAGACUUAGGACGAAGCCUUCAGUGGGUCCGACAGGAGAUGGUCUCGCCUUCACCAGGGAGAAGAUGCCGUCGAUGAAGCUGGAAGGGGGUCUGUCUGUCCUCACCAGACACGGGAUCUGGACGUCCAGCCUCCAGAAUGGAGAGCUUUGGCGCUCACAGGUCACGGCUGCACUUCGCUCCCUGUGCCGGGGUGUCAGAGGUCCCCGCCGCCGGCCCGGCCCCCGUCUCCGCACCUUCUCCCGUGACGUGACCCCUCCCCUGUGCCACAACCAUCCCUACGACUCUCCAUCUUCCCGAACUGCCGCUCUGCCCCAGUGAAACACUCACGCCCACGCCUCUCCCCGCCAGCCCCUGGCAAACCCAGGACUUUCGAGUAUUUCUGCGCAGCUCAUGUCUGUGACCAAACUGCUGGGGCGCCAGCCCUCCCCACGCCCCCGGCCGGAAGCGCCAGCACAAGCACUGAGUGAGGCUUCUCCGCCCCCGCGUGCCGCCCCGGACCCCAGGGUGGGCGGAGCUGGGCGCACCCCAGGCGGGGAGGGACAGGCGGCAGGGACGCAGGGACCAUACUCAGCGCCCGCUCAGCUGGGGGGAAUGGGGUGGGAGGGGGAGGGGGAAGGAGGAGAAGGGAAGCAUAGUUAACUGGGACCCCCCUCUUGCCCUGCCUCCCCCCUCAAGUACCUUCUGGCGCCUGAUACGUUUCUCCCUGCCUUUGGUGUCCUGCGGUCUGACUGAGGUCACCCAGGUGCGACUUGUAUUUACCCGUCU